GGCAAGUUCUUCUCUUUCUUUCUGCCCCUCCCAUCCUGGUCAUGCGUGGGAAGUGAGCACCUGCCCAGAGUGUUGUCAUCCUACCGUGGUUCCAGUCAUGGGAGGCCCCUCCCCACCAAGGCCCUCCUAAAAAUCUGGGUCUGAAGCAGACAGCUGUGAAGACACGGGGAAUGGUAGAGGAAAUGGCCAGGAGGCCACGUGAGCGAGGAAGGAGGCUCAGUAAACCGACGGCAAAAACACUGAGCUGGGCAGGAGGGUCCUGAGUUCUGAACUUGGCUCCAUCAGAGAUCUCACGGUUGUGGCGAACCAAGGAUCUUCAAUGGACAGACAUGUCCGCAGCCCCUAACUUCCCAGAUUUUGCCUGCCAGUGAUCUGAAGGAUUUGUUGGGCUCGAGCAGGAGAGAGGACAUGGACCCAGGAAUGCUGCCUAUUUUCACCUAUUUGUCCCCAUUUUACCCUCCUUUCUCCCAAUUUGAAACUGGCAAAGUGUACCACUAUAAACAGUAUAAUUAAAGGGCCACCUAGA